UUGGAGGGCAAGUCUGGUGCCAGCAGCCGCGGUAAUUCCAGCUCCAAUAGCGUAUAUUAAAGUUGUUGCAGUUAAAAAGCUCGUAGUUGAAUUUCGGGGUUAGUAGAUUGGUCAUGCCUCUGGUAUGCACUGGUCUCACUGAUUCCUCCUUCCUGAUGAGCCGUAAUGCCAUUAAUUUGGUGUUGCGGGGAAUUUGGACUGUUACUUUGAAAAAAUUAGAGUGUUUAAAGCAAGCUAACGCUUGAAUACAUUAGCAUGGAAUAAUGAAAUAGGACGUUCGAUCCUAUUUUGUUGGUUUCUAGGAUUGACGUAAUGAUUAAUAGGGAUAGUUGGGGGCAUUAGUAUUCAAUUGUCAGAGGUGAAAUUCUUGGAUUUAUUGAAGACUAACUACUGCGAAAGCAUUUGCCAAGGAUGUUUUUAUUAAUCAAGAACGAAAGUUAGGGGAUCGAAGACGAUCAGAUACCGUCGUAGUCUUAACCAUAAACUAUGCCGACUAGGGAUCGGAUGAUGUUAAUUUUUUAAUGACUCAUUCGGCGCCUUACGGGAAAC
rnacentral:rRNA from 1 species